rnacentral:rRNA from 1 species
UACGUAGGGUGCAAGCGUUGUCCGGAAUUAUUGGGCGUAAAGAGCUCGUGGGCGGUCUGUCGCGUCGGAUGUGAAAACCCAGGGCUCAACCCUGGGCCUGCAUUCGAUACGGGCAGACUAGAGUUCGGUAGGGGAGACUGGAAUUCCUGGUGUAGCGGUGAAAUGCGCAGAUAUCAGGAGGAACACCGGUGGCGAAGGCGGGUCUCUGGGCCGAAACUGACGCUGAGGAGCGAAAGCGUGGGGAGCAAACAGG